UCUAAGGUACAACAACAAAUGUCAUCACAGGUUGGCUAAAACAGGCUUAUUUCAGCUAUAAUGUCUGUAUUUCCAAAGUACAAGAUGAUUUUUUUUCUUUUGUUUCUUUCCAAAUUUAGGGAAUCUAGUUUAUCUCAGAUCUUCUACGAUCCAUAUUGAAGCAGUGUUCACAGUUUGAUGCCCUCACUGACCGGCAAAUAAAAUGAACCAACAGCAUUUGAGACACGUCUUAUUUUUGGAUGCACAGAAAGCCUCAAGGACGACACCAGACAGACGGAGUGUGAAGAAACCAUACCUUUAUUUGUGUGAAGCAGUCCAAACCAAAGUCAGAGUCGAAAGAGUUAAAAACAGUCAGUGCUCAAAAUCAGACCAAGCCCG